AGUGAACGCUGGCGGUAGGCCUAACACAUGCAAGUCGAACGGCAGCACAGUAAGAGCUUGCUCUUACGGGUGGCGAGUGGCGGACGGGUGAGGAAUACAUCGGAAUCUACUUUUUCGUGGGGGAUAACGUAGGGAAACUUACGCUAAUACCGCAUACGACCUACGGGUGAAAGCAGGGGAUCUUCGGACCUUGCGCGAUUGAAUGAGCCGAUGUCGGAUUAGCUAGUUGGCGGGGUAAAGGCCCACCAAGGCGACGAUCCGUAGCUGGUCUGAGAGGAUGAUCGGCCACACUGGAACUGGAACACGGUCCAGACUCCUACGGGAGGCAGCAGUGGGGAAUAUUAGACAAUGGGCGCAAGCCUUAUCCAGCCAUACCGCGUGGGUGAAGAAGGCCUUCGGGUUGUAAAGCCCUUUUUUUGGGAAAGAAAAGCAGCAGGUUGAUACCCCGCUGUUCUGACGGUACCCAAAGAAUAAGCACCGGCUAACUUCGUG
rnacentral:rRNA from 1 species